rnacentral:tRNA from 1 species
AAAAUCCGUCGACUUUAAAAUCGUGAGGGUUCAAGNCCCUCUAUCCCCAAAAAAGGCCUAUUUGACUCCCAA